GAUGAAGAACGCAGCGAAAUGCGAUACGUAAUGUGAAUUGCAGAAUUCAGUGAAUCAUCGAAUCUUUGAACGCAUAUUGCGCUCUCUGGUAUUCCGGAGAGCAUGCUUGUUUGAGUAUCAGUAAACACCUCAACUUCCAUAUCUUUUUUGAAAUGGGAGUUGGACUUGAGUGAUCCCAACGCUUUUCCUCACCGAAAAGUGGCGGGUUACUUGAAAUGCAGGUGCAGCUGGACUUUUCUCUGAGCUAUAAGCAUAUCUAUUUAGUCUGCCUAAAAAACAGAUUAUUACCUUUGCUGCAGCUAACAUAAAGGAGAUUAGUUCUUGUGCUGACUGAUGCAGGAUUCACAAAGACGGCUUCGGCCGACUUUGUAAACUCGAUCUCAAAUCAAGUAAGACUACACGCUGAACUUAAGCAUAUCAAUAAGCGGAGGA
rnacentral:misc_RNA from 1 species